AAUUUUGGACAAUGGGGGAAACCCUGAUCCAGCCAUCCCGCGUGUAUGAUGAAGGCCUUCGGGUUGUAAAGUACUUUUGGCAGAGACGAAAGGGAUCUCCUCAUACGAGAUACGGCUGCCGGUAUCUGCAGAAACAGCUCCGGCUAACUACGUGCCAGCGGCCGCGGGAAUUCGUAGGGUGCAAGUGUUAAACGGAAUUACUGGGCGUAAAGCGUGUGUAGGCGGUUCGGAAAGAAAGAUGUGAAAUCCCAGGGCUCAACCUUGGAACUGCAUUUUUAACUGCCGAGCUAGAGUAUGUCAGAGGGGGGUAGAAUUCCACGUGUAGCAGUAAAAGGCGUAGAUAUGUGGAGGAAUACCGAUGGCGAAGGCAGCCCCCUGGGAUAAUACUGACGCUCAGACACGAAAGCGUGGGGAGCAAACAG
rnacentral:rRNA from 1 species